AAAUAAUACAGAGACAUCUCUGUGGCAGAAUGAAAUAAUACCUGUAAUAACAGCAUCGGAAGCAAUAGCAUUGGGUCUAACUGGAAGUGCAUAGAAACGGGCCUGACCGCCACCUGAUCGACCUCCCCCUCUAGGGCGACCCCUAACUGACUGACCUCCACCCCUAGCUGGGUGGGUGGUGGUGGUGAAGUAACCGGCGCUAAAGCCGAUGGCUGACUCCUCUGCUGAGAUGAACCCGCAAGACGACGAGGACACUGGCUCCACAUAUGACCCAUCUAUCCACACUCAUUGCAACUCUCGGGUGUUGGAGACAAGGACUAAAGGGAACCCUAGCAUCGGAAUGACUAGCAGAUGCACCUAGCUAGAAGAGCCCCGAACUGAUGGAGCACGGGAUGAACUCUGAGCUGGAAGGGCACUGAGUGAUGACUGGCCCUGAUUAGUGUUAUACCCCAUUUUAACACGGGUCAAAUUAGAGUAUAACAUAUUGAUAAUUCUAGGGGUUUAAUUAAUUAAAAAGAGCCGCCACCUAAUUGGUUUAAUGGUGAAUUAGGACACCAAUUUAGCUAAAUAAUGCUUAACUCGGUCUGCUUAACCUUAAGAUUAUGGGUAAGGAUUCUAAUUAAUCCUAUAGGGAAGGUUGUAAAAGCACUCUAUAUGACCCAAUAACUACGGUUAACCCGUCAAACUUAGGUUAAUUAAUUUAAGAUCUUAGAAUAAAUCAGAUGUAUGCCUAACGAUUAAAGUAUAUAUAUACAUAUCCAAUAGCUAAAAAUAAUUUGAUGGAAAAGACUGACGUUAGAUGACUUCUUUUAACUUAUUCAAAAUUCAUUCUUAAAGGAAAAGUUUUCCAGUUGCUUAAAGGGAAGCAAUUCUCAUAAAUAAAAAUUAUUUAGCUAGAAUUAAACAUCUUCAUUCGAAACCUUCAACUUAACGGAAUUAGAAAUGGGCUUGACAAGAAGUUAUUGGAAAGCCAUCAUUUUAACAAAUUGACCUCUUAAAAAAGUGUUAGAGGUAUAACAUUAAGCUUAUUAGAAAAUGCUUAUACCAAUAGCAAAUAGAUAAAAAGGUUAAUAAAUUAGCGAUCUUAAAUUCCUAAAGAUUAUAUGAUCAGUGAAACUAGAUGAUUAAACCUCAAACUAAAAUAAACUCAAAAUAUAGAAAUAAAUUAACAAUCAUAAAGAUAGAUAAAAUGACUAGCAAAAGAAAUAAAAGGACAUCAUAGGCGCCCCAAGCGUUUCGCUUGUUUUUCUUGUUAUCCGGUGACUUUAGAAGUUGAUAUGUGAUGACUCCAUGCUCGCGAAUGGGAGAGUCUUGCAUUAAGACUCAUAUUGCUCCAAAGUGCAUAUGCAAAUCAAAGAAAGAGAAAAUCAAGAAAUUAGAAAGAGAGGAGUUAGAAAUAGACUUGGACAAAAUUUACAGCAAGAUUUAUGGUCUUUAUACAUGUUUUCUAACAGAAAUAAUAACUCAGAAUAUUAACUUUCCAUGUUCAUGUGAAAUCUAAAGGGUCGAACAGAUUAAUAUGGUGAACAUAAUCCUUGACACUUUGAACAACAUGGUUACCCACUUCCAUGUUAAGUCUUAAAAUUGGAUAUUAAAGUCCUAGUAGCAUGCUUUCUAAAGGAAAUGCCGAAGCAGCAGCAGACCUUUUUAAGACAACUAAUACGCAUGAUAUCAUUUAACACACAAAGCACAUACUUUCUUACUGUAUUUCAAGUAAUAUCCUAAUGGCACACUCGAUAGUAACAGUAAGGAAGGAAAAUAAUUUAAAAGGUUCAUCAAUGUCAAACUCCUCUUAACUUCUAUUGUUCUUCGACACCAAACGUGCUUCUGCUAUGAGAGAUUAAGAUAUAUAUUUUUUAUUUAUUAAAUAAAUCAGAAAAUAUAUUAACAUAUUUCUGGCAUGAAAAUCUAGAAGAAACUUUUACAACUAGCAAAGACACCUUACUUUGAAUAGCUAAACGAGCUUCUACUUCGUAUGAGGCAACUUAAGGCAGAAUUUUUCUUUAAACAAAUGAUAAAAAGUCACAAUACAUGGUUUCUACAUGAUCUUUGAAUAAGGACAAAUAAAUAUAUCUGUGCAACAGUUCACAGUGACUUUCACCAAGCAAAAUAACAGUAACUUGCUAUUGAUAUCACUUUAGACAUAACAUCGAAUCGUGUUUCUAACGAAGCUUCUUGACAUGAUAUUAUCUAUUCAAUAGCCAAACAAACUAAAUUAAGUAAAGUAGUUAGGUCGUCUUGCUAUUUAGCACAAAGAAUAAAACAUGGUUUGGCCAGCAUAUUAAUCAUGUUUAAGAAUUUAAAAUAAAAGAAAAAGGAGAAAGUGCUGACCUCUAUCGGGGCAGUAAACUAAGGCGGCUGUCUAGGAUUUACUCCUUUCUCACCGAAGCCGAAGGUUUAUGAAACUACAAAGAGGGGCUAAAGCUUUUAUGAAAUUUCUAGCUAAACGAAUAGUAAAAUUUGAGGGGUAAAGUUGUGGCCUCCAACCUCUAUCCAGAUGGACUCCAAGUGCUGGUUUUUAUACGUGAAAAACUAGAGUUCUUGAUUUGGGUUUGAAAUUCAGAUUUUCCCCAAAAGAGAUGAAAUGGAGCCGUUUGAAUUUUAACGUUGGGGAUUCUGGACGAACUCAGCAGAGCUUUUUGAUUUUUUGCAGAGAGUUACCCAAAAUGGUAAGGCUUCUCUUGUAGCCUUCAAAAUUUGGAAUGUUGUGCAGCAAGAAAAGUGAAAAAUGGAGAACCUCCAUGUGAGCAAAGAGAGAGAAAAGAAGGUUUGCUAAUUCAGACUUCUGGGAGUGGAUUUGAGGCGAGAAUUCAUUGUAAUUAAAUGUUGAAUUCUUGAGAUCCAAAAUAAGGGAAUAUAAAAGAUAAUUCAAUUUCAUAGAAUGAUCUAGAAUAUGAUAUUGGGCUAAUGUUUGGUCUGCUUUAACUGUUUGGAGAUGGCUUUUGGCCGAAUUGGGCCUUCAUUUUGGGGCUCAGUUCAGAUGGGGUUGAUUAGGCAAAUUUUUGGAUAGCUGAAUUGAAUACUUGGGCUUAUGAGUAGGCCAAAAUAAAAUAAUGUUCUCCCAUCUUAAAAUUUAAUUCUUUGAGUUUCUAAUUUAUUCCAAAAUAUCCUAUUACCUACAUUAUAUAAUAAGAUGUAAAUAUGCCUUAAUAAAAUUAUUAGCAUUUGUAGAAAAAUAGUAGACUAAUUGUUAAGUAAAAUUUAUAAUGCAAUUAGAGCAAAUAUAUAUAUAAACGGUAGGAUUAGGGAAAAUAUUACUAUUUGGUUGAAUAAAAGAAAUGAUAUGCUUUUCGCAAAAGACAGUAAAAGUUAUAAUUAGAAUGUCAAAUAUAAUAAUAAUAAAAAUAAAAUAAUAAUAAUAAUAAUAAUAAUAAUAUUAAUACUAGUAAUAGUGAUAUUAAGUAAAUAAUAAUAAUUAGGUCUAGUUGGUGCGAAAAAUGGUAAAAUAACUAUUCUUACAUUAUUAGUGAUAUUAGAAGCUUAAAGAAAUAGUUUGGAAGAAAGUAGAGACAAAAUUGGAUGUCAACAGCAGCCCCUCUUUAAGUAGCCAAUUUAGUAGCCAAUGAAAGAGUUUUCGGGCAAAGAAUAUUGACUUAGUAGCCAAUUUUGUCCCGACCAUCAAGAUCGGAGUCGGACAAAGGGGACAUAAAAAAAAUUAAUUGCGGCCGAAGUUCGGUUUCGAGUUGCCUACAUAUCUCGGGUUUCACAAGAAUCAGGUCAUAUGUAGUUCAAGACUUAUGGUACCCUAGAGUAGAACUCACUUAUUGAUGUGGAUCCUAAAAUGCCGCCCCAGUGUCGAAUAAUAGAGACAUUGGGUACCAUGAUUGAAAGAAAGAUGUUGGAAAUAAGAAUUUGAUUAUGAAUUUUGAGUGUCGAGCUGAGCGGAGUUUGAAGUAGAUCCUUGACCUUUGUUGGAGAGUUUGGUAUUCCUCUCCAACAAAUUGCCCCAGUACACUGCUAAGAUAUAGUUCCACGUUGUGUUAUGUUUUCUGCAAAGCUUGACAUACUAGAUAAUUCGUUAGGAAAUAAGAUGCAGUGUGCCAUAAAAAAUAAUUUUAUGAAAAUAAUAUUUAGACGUCAAUUCAUGAGAAAUGUGAAUUUAUUGUGCAAACAUAUAAAAAAAAUAUUGUUUUGGUGAUAUAUUUCAUGAUCGCAAUGCCAUAUGAAAAUUUAGCUUAUGAAAAUAAAUGCAUUCGGAAAUAAUUUAUGAAAGAUAUAUUUUGACAAUGCUUAUGCAAGUAGGACCGCUCGGGUCGAAAUAAAUUAAAUGUCAUUUUGAGGAAGGAUUAACUUCAAUAUCCUAUUUGAGUGCGGAUUGACCCGAUAUAUCCUAUUUGAGGGCGGAUGGACCCGAUAUAUCCUAUUUGAGGGCGGAUGGACCCGAUAUAUCCUGUUUGAGGGCGGAUGGACCCGAUAUAUCAUGUUUGAGGGCGGAUAGACCUGAUAUGUCCUAUUUGAAGGUGGACAAGCCUCACAUAUGGUGCUUGAUUUGCAAUUAGAAAGAUUGAUGUGGUGCGCAGAGCUUGAUAUGCUGCCCAUUUUGUAAUGGUAAUUCAUGGGGCGAUGCAAAAAUCAUUGUGAGAUGAUUUUGUUGGAGUGAAUAUCCAUGAUGCGGAGAGCUUGAUGUAGUGUCUUUACAGGAAAAUAUUCCAGGAGCGGUGCCCAUAAUUUAGGAAUUUGCAUGCUGAAGUUUAUUGUUAGUAAAUUCCUGCACUCAAAGAAAACUACGAGUUUCAAGAUAUAAUUUGCGAUAUCUUGAAAUGCAAUGUGUUAUAAAGUAAUCUUAUGAAAAUGACACAUUUUGGGUGUUUACUUAUACAAUGCGGCCUCGCAUGCCAAAAUGAUUUGAUGAAAAUGUAGCUUUCUGCCAGUAAUGAUUUUCGGCAAAAACAUGCAGGUUAUAAUUGUGCUUGGCAAUGAUUUGUGAUAAUGAUGCAUUUCAGUAAUGACAAUAAAAGCGUGACCAUCUAGGUUGAAAUAAAUUAAUGAAAAACAUUUGAGUAGGUGCUAAAGUGUCUUGUUGUUCAGGCGGACAACCUUAUGUCCCAUUAAUUAGGCGGACUUCCUUAAUAUCCUAUUAUUAGGUGGACAACCUUGUGCCCAAUUAAUUAGACGGACAUCCUAAUGUCCUAUUAAUCAGGUGGACUACCUCAUGUCCUAUUAUCAGGCAGACGACCUCAUGUCCUAUUAUCAGGCGGACUACCUUAUGUCUUAUUAAUCAGGCGGACGACCUCAUGUCCUAUUAAUCAGGCGGACGACCUCGUGUCCUAUUAAUCAGGCGGACUACCUUAUGUCCUAUUAUCAGGCGGACAACCUUAUGUCCUAUUAUCAGGCGGACAACUUCAUGUCCUAUUAAUCAGACGGACGACCUCAUAUCCUAUUAUCAGGCGGACGACCUUAUAUCCUAUUAUCAGGCGGACGACCUCAUGUCCUGUUAUUCAGGCGGACGACCUCGUAUCCUAUUAAUCAGGCGGACAACCUCAUAUCCUAUUAAUCAGGUGGACGACCUUUUUGUCCUAUUAUUAGGUGGACGAACCUAGAUGCAUGUCUCUUGAUUUGCAAUUUCAAAUAUUGGUGCGGUGCAGAAGCUUGGUACGAUGCUUGAUUUGUAGUCUUGGAAUUCAUAAUGCGGUGUAAAGAGCUUGGUGUAAUUUCUUUGAAGUAACACAUAUUGAUGGUACAAUGCAGAGAGCUAGGUACGACGCUUUUGCAAUAGCGAAUGGUGCGGUCCAUAGAACUUGAUGCAAUGCCUUUGUAUUAAAGAAAUUCCUAGUGCAACGCCAACAAUUGUUGGAGCUUCAAAAUAAAUUUUUGUAAUUAAUAAAUUCCUGCACUCAAAGAAAAAUUAUAAGUUUCAAAGUUUGAUUUGCUCUUGCUUGGCUUCAUCUUUUGCUUUGCAUGAACCUUGCGACUUUUGACUUGAUGUCGAGCUUUGCGAUAGCAUGUAAUGUUCAAGAAUAGCUAAAAUAUGCCCCUGCAUUACUCAAAGCAAAUUUGUUAGUAUAAAAUAAAGUGGUUGCCUUGCAUUGAACGCCAAAGUUUGGCUUUGAAUCUGUAACUUGUUGUCAUGGCAUUCUGGAAUUUGUUGUUGUGCUUGUAACAAAUAUGUAGCUCGAGAUUUCAUUUUCUGCUUUGACGAAUGAUGAGGAUCCUUCUGCAAAAUUUGCCCCGAUUUUAGCUUUUAGGGUAAAUAGGAUUUUUAUUAUGAUGAGACCGAACCCAUAAGGCUGCCUACAUACCCCUCUUAAACGGGAAUCAGGUCAAAACGUAGUUCAUUUAUAAAAGCAAGGCAUAAUUACAAAAAAUAGUUACUCAUAUGAUGAUAGUUGCAAAAUGAUAAUUCCAUCAAUGCAAGGUGAACUAGUCCAAACGACGUUUCUUCUUCGGAUGGCCAACCACGCUCGGUAUAUUACUUGUGCUGCGGCUAAUUGCAUUUGAGAUAUUUGUUCCAACUGGUAGGUGCACUUGUAGUUUGUUAACAUCAAUUAAAUUCUGAAUCUUAUGUUUUAAUGCUAGGCAUUCUUCUGUAUCAUGACCAUGAGCAUUUGAAUGAUAAACACAAUACUUUGACAGGUCGAAUAAUGGAUGUGAAGUGUAAAAAAAUCCUUCCUUUUCUUGGUUGCAUAAUUCCUGAGGCAUUCAAUCGAGCGAAUAUGCUAGAAAUUGGUUCACUCAGAGGUGUAAAGUCGCAGGGCUUUCUUUUCUUUAAUUGAUAUUGAAUACUUUGUUGGCGAUGAGGCUGGAGAUGCAUGUCGUGGGCGUUAGAAAUGGCAUGAUUUUGCAAAAGCUGGUGAUUCUGAUGGCAUUCUAGUUGAUGCAUAUUCAUGGCAACUGCGGCAUUUUGCUUCUCUUUACUUUUCCGAUUUUUCAGCGUCUUAGGUUGUAAAGCAUGAAUGAUAGUUUGCAUGCUAACCUUUCCUUCUUUGAUGCCACUUUCUAGAAAGUCCCCGACUCUAAUCAAGUUACGUACGUUCGCAGUAGCCAGCUUUUCAUAGUAUAUGCCAUUUUGAAUGUUAAUGAAGAUUGAGAUCAACUCUUUCUCGGAUAGCAGAGGGUGCACCUUCGAAGCUUCAACUCUCCACCGGAUUGCAUAAUCCUGAAAAGAUUCAUGUGGCAUUUUAUCUAUUUUGUACAGGCUAUGCAUGUUUGGAUCAGCUCCAAGGUUGAACUCAUAUUGCUUUACAAAAUCGUGAGUCAUGGCAUCCCACGUGUGCCAUUUGCUAAAAUUUGUUUUGUGUACCAAACAAGUGCAGGUCCUGAUAAGCUUUGAAUAAAUAAUUUCAUCCGAAUGGACUCGUUGUGUCCUAUGCCAAUUAACCUGCUACAAUAGUCUUUCAAAUGAGCAAUGUGAUUUCCCUUCCCGUUGAAAGUAUUAAAUUUUGGCAUCUGGUACCCUGGUGGGAGUUCUACAUCUGGUUGCAGGCAUAAGUCUUCAUAUCGUAGACUUUGGUAAUUUCUUGAUUGAAAUUCUUCUCCAAUGACUUUCUUUAAAUCACGGAGUUUUUAUCCAAAUCUUUACGGCAAAUUUGCUGGAUUUAUUUUCCACGUCUCUUAUGAGGGCAUACUGUUAGUUGGUUUUGCUUGCUUUCUUCAAAUAGAGUUGUGGUUAUGAAAACUUAUGAGGGCAUACUGUUAGUUGGUUUUGCUUGCUUUCUUCAAAUAGAGUUGUGGUUAUGAGAGACAUUUUCAUGACUUGAUUGAGGUUGCAGGUUGAUGGAACUUGUGUAGAGAUUGCAUAAGUAGGAGCUGGGCAAGGAGAUAUGGUUAAGCAGAUAUUUCGGUUUGAGAAGUGGAGGUUGUAUUUGGAAGAAGGUUAAAAGUGCUUCCCAGAUUAACCAACAUGUUCCUUUGCACCACAUUCACCUUGGUGCCAUCAUUCUGUGAUUGCAAUUGUCCCAUACCGGUAUUGAAUUCUUCAAAACGGUCUGCCAUUAUAGCCCGUCCUUUAUGUAGAUACGCAGUCAAAACAAUGUUCAAUGCUAGGCAACCUUUAAAGGAAAAAUAAAACUUUACAAAAUAAAAGUAAAGUGUUAGCGUAUUUAUCAUAAUCAAAUAAAUGCACAAAGUAAUAAAGUAUGUAAUUAGAUAGAUUAAUUCAUGAUAUGGUUAAGCAGGAGUCCUAAACUGGAAAUGAUGGCCUAAGUUGCAAAAUGGAUGAACAAGAAUGGCUUGUUAUCUAGAGGGCUCUAACGCACGAGACUUGUUGACAUGGAAGCAGAAUGAUUUGAAGUUUUUUGAAGGGCUGACUUAUGUCCAACAUCAAAGCUUUAGCUCUAUCAUAGGUUCUUGUCCUUACAUGGCUUUGAAAUUUUCAAAAAUUGCCCCAAUCUUUAGGAAUCUUUUUAUUAUUACUCCAUGGCUUGAUGUCCCUUUCGAGCAUAUCAACCCGCGUGCUAAAAAUCUGCCCCAGUUUUUUGCUAUAAUGAGACUAAGCCUUACAUAGGUUGCAUGCGCAUCCAAAAUAAGGGAAGGUGGGUGGGGAAUGAUAAUCUUUCAAUUUUUUGUUAUCUUGUUAAUCAUGCUUCUUCUUCAUACACAUUGUUGGCAGCUUAGAAUGCCCUUUCUAGCAAGAAAGAGUGCAGAUUUGGAAAAACUAGGCAUUACACUCAUAAGUGGGAGAUGCAGCUGUACGAAAUGGAGAUGCCUUUUUCGUUGAACGGGUUCUUAAGAUCAUCUAUCACUUCCUUGACGCCAUUAAUUUCUUGCCCCAUUUGCCACUUUUGCUUCAAGCCUAGCAAUCUUAUCUUUGUAUGAUUUGUAUUUCUUGUACUCAAACUCAUCUGCAUCUAGGUCAAUCACUGUGAUUUGGUUGGCCAUAUUGUCCUUGAACUUGUGUUGCUUUGAUGUUCAACUCAAGUCAAUUUCUUUUGGAAAAAGGUAUAUAUAGUCACUAUGGAGUAGAUAAAUAUUAAAGGAUAAUGGUAGAAUAUUUGGGAAUGUAUGCCUAAGAAACCGACGAGAUCGGGUCUUGUAAUAUUACAAUGUCUAAGAGAGGCCAAAGAUGUGAGAUUUUAAUUAAAAAAAAAUAAUUUGCUGGUAUUUGGAUAUAAGGAUAUGGUAGUCAAUUGACAUGAAAAUACUCUAAUUUUUUUUAGCAUUGGCAAGUCAUAAAGUUAUCGAGGCCUGGGAAUACGGUGCCAACCGUUUUGAAACUUUACGGGAUACUACCUCGACUCACGUGCCAAAACAUAGAAUUAACGGGCACGUGAAAAUCAAUCUCGACAACCUGAAAUAAGACGACACAUACACUUGAAUUGAAUAGGUAAAAAAUUUAGAAUAAUUCAACAAUGCAAAUUGACCAAAUAGUGGUGUUCCAAUGCUUGGUAGAUUAUGCAAGUUUGGACAUCUACCCACUUGUAAAUGUGUGUUGGCACGAAGGUUGAAGUACUAAGAGAUAUGAAGCUAUGAAACGAAUAUUGAAGAUACAAGAUUACGCCGAAAUUGGAAAACUUAAGAAAGAAUUGAAAAUUAUGUAAGGAACGAAUGGCAAUAUUUUUUUAAAAAGAAAUAUGUAACUACAUUUUUGAGAAAAGAACGCGAAUAAAAUCAACUCGGGAAAUUAGAUGGGAAAAAUAUUUUCUAAUUAUGAAAUAUUACGCCAAUUUUCUUUUUAAGAAGUAGGAAUUAUAUCUUGCUAUAGGGAGUGAGAUGCUCAUUGUUGUCUAAAGAAAAUUCUUAAUGCUAGUUUAAGGCACGAAUAUCGAUGAAUUUUUAUGACGACUGAGCUUAUUGAAGUGUUUGCGGGCAGAAAUGCCUUAUAAAUAAUAGAAGAUCAUGCCCAAAGACUAAAAAGGUAUAUUAAUUAGACUCUAAGAAUUGGAGUGGACCUAAGAAAAAUUUGGGCCUAAGUAAAUACCUAAUUUGUGCUCUAGAGUCGUCAAAGAAUAAAACAUGGUUUGGCCAGCAUAUUAAUCAUGUUUAAGAAUUUAAAAUAAAAGAAAAAGGAGAAAGUGUUGACCUCUAUCGGAGCAGUAAACUAGGGCGGCUGUCUAGCAUUUACUCCUUUCUCACCGAAGCCGAAGUUUUAUGAAACUAAAACUAAAAGCAAAGAGGGGCUAAAGCUUUUAUGAAAUUUCUAGCUAAACGAAUAGUAAAAUUUGAGGGGUAAAGUUGUGGCCUCCAACCUCUAUCCAGAUGGACUCCAAGUGCUAGUGUUUAUACGUGAAAAUCUAGGGUUCUUGAUUUGGGUUUGAAAUUCAGAUUUCCCCCAAAAGAGGUGAAAUGGAGUCGUUUGAAUUUUAACGUUGGGGAUUCUGGACGAACUCAGCAGAGCUUUUUGAUUUUUUGCAGAGAGUUACCCCAAAAUGGUAAGGCUUCUCUUGUAGCCUUCAAAAUUUGGGAUGUUGUGCAGCAAGAAAAGGGAAAGAUGGAGAACCUCCAUGUGAGCAAAGAGGAAAAAAGAAGGUCUGCUAAUUCAGACUUCUGGGAGUGGAUUUGAGGCGAGAAUUCAC
rnacentral:lncRNA from 1 species